UAACGCGUGAGAAUCUAGCUUCAGGUUCGGGACAACAGAGGGAAACCGCUGCUAAUACCGGAUAGGCCGAAAGGUAAAAGAUUAAUCGCCAGAAGAUGAGCUCGCGGCCGAUUAGCUAGUUGGUGGGGUUAUAGCCUACCAAGGCGACGAUCGGUAGCUGGUCUGAGAGGACGAUCAGCCACACUGGGACUGAGACACGGCCCAGACUCCUACGGGAGGCAGCAGUGGGGAAUUUUCCGCAAUGGGCGAAAGCCUGACGGAGCAAGACCGCGUGAGGGAGGAAGGCUCUUGGGUUGUAAACCUCUUUUAUCAGGGAAUAAUCAAUGAAGGUACCUGAGGAAUCAGCAUCGGCUAACUCCGUGCCAGCAGCCGCGGUAAUACGGAGGAUGCAAGCGUUAUCCGGAAUCAUUGGGCGUAAAGCGUCCGCAGGUGGUAGUUCAAGUCGAUUGUCAAAGGCAGUAGCUUAACUACUGACAGGCAGUGGAAACUGAAAGACUAGAGUGCGGUAGGGGUAGAGGGAAUUCCCGGUGUAGCGGUGAAAUGCGUAGAGAUCGGGAAGAACACCAGUGGCGAAAGCGCUCUGCUGGACCGGCACUGACACUGAGGGACGAAAGCUAGGGGAGCGAAUGGGAUUAGAUACCC
rnacentral:rRNA from 1 species